UCCUUUCUCCCCUUCCCUUCCCUCUCUUUUCCUUCCUUCCCCUCAUCUAUUGCAGAUGCUUUGGUUUGUUUGAAUUGUAUCUCCAAUUUUUGCGCUAUAUUGUAUAAAUGGUCUUCAUCAGGGAGCCCUUUUUGGGGGGGUUCUCUUAGGCCAAGCAGCCCACCUCGCAGGGUUGUUGUUGCUGGGAAAUUAAGAUUAGGCGAAUGUGCUACCUCGAGUUAUCCCAAAUAUACAAAAGGCAUGAUAAAAAUCUCAUAAAGAGCAAGAUAAAAUGUUUGGAAUAUUUGGAAUGUUUAUUUCAUUUGUAUGCCUCCCCACUCCCGAAUAAAUGAGUAAAAACACGCCUUACGGCCGUGCGCCAACCCACAGAUUCCCCUCAAAGCCGCUGAGGGACCCACCCGAGCUGGCCCAGAAAGAUGUGAACGCGGCCCCGGGCACUCUUCGCCCCACCACCGGUCUCCCUAGGCUUCGGACACCCACUCCCAUCAACCCCAGCCCGCACCUUCCCCCACUCACCGAUCGCCACCGAUGCCACCGCGCAGCAACCAAAAUGGCGCCCUCCAGGUUACCUCAGCGCGUAAGAAAUUCCGUGCAUGCGCCACAACGCAUGGAGGGGAGAAGACGUGCACCUGCGCAAAGAGGGAGGGCCACCUAUUUUUUCCUAUUGGCCAGAGCUGCUGUGGGCAGGAUUCGCCCCGCCUCCAUCACGUGUCUUUAGAAGACUGGCUUAUGAAAAAUAAACAAGGCUGCCCUCCUGCAACCUCACAGCUGCCACCUGUCGGCCCCUUUCCCAAGUCCUGGAAUCCAGCUCUUCCCUCCUGGAACUCAACCUGGAGCUGAACUCCCUGGGCAACGGGGGAGCAAAGCUGCUGUGCCGAGGGCUGAAGUCCCCGUCUUCCCCGCUACAGAGACUCAUCUUACAUCCUGCGGCCUGACCGCCGGUGCCUGUGGAGACCUGGCCUCCCUCUUGGAAACCAGCGAUAUCCUCUUGGAGCUGAACCUGGGGGAUAACAGACUGGGAGAUGAAGGGGUCAGGCAGCUAUGCCAAGGAUUGAGACAAAGACACUGCAAGCUUCAAAAGUUAAUAAUUACAAUGAAAUCGUUCAACCGAAAUAUGAAGGGGAAAUUGCAGGCAGCUUGUGCGAGGCAUCCUGGUUUAAUUCUGACUUCCUAUUAUCCUCCAGAUUUCCCCCCGCUUCCCAGGGAUUGAAGGAUAAAGGUGGAGUCCGCCCCUGCUUUCCUUCUGCCGCUGAAGGGUUGGAAGCUUGGUGAGAUGGGUGGUAGGUGUGGAAACCUUCAAAGGCCAGCUCAGCUCAGCUCACCUUUUGCGUUACUUGCUGCAUCACAACCAUACAGCUGAUUCACAAGCCUGGCUAUGAGGUUCUGGUGGCCCUUUGGACUUAAGAGCAAGUGGAACUUGGCCGUCUGGAAGGUCUUCUCAAUUGGAACCUCUCAAGAGCUUCAACUCCAUCUUUCAAAAUCCCCAACUCGCAUGUGAGAAGAACAUUUUGGUCCAGGUUUGAGCCAGGAAUCGCAUAAAAAUGAUACUAAAGUCACUGCUUGAAGAGGAAGAAGUUUAUUUAACAUUUAGAAUAGAACAGAAUAGAAUAA